rnacentral:rRNA from 1 species
CUGGCCGCAUGCUUAACACAUGCAAGUCGAGCGAUGAAGCUUCCUUCGGGAAGUGGAUUAGCGGCGGACGGGUGAGUAACACGUGGGUAACCUGCCUCAAAGUGGGGGAUAGCCUUCCGAAAGGAAGAUUAAUACCGCAUAAUAUGAGAGAAUCGCAUGAUUUUCUUAUCAAAGAUUUAUUGCUUUGAGAUGGACCCGCGGCGCAUUAGCUAGUUGGUAAGGUAACGGCUUACCAAGGCAACGAUGCGUAGCCGACCUGAGAGGGUGAUCGGCCACAUUUGGAACUACGGUCCAAAACUCACCGGAAGCAGCAGUGGGGAAUAUUGCCCAUGGGGGGAAACCCGGGAAACCCUGACGGAGAUGUAAGGUUUUUCCUUCAAAGAGCGCAACCCUUGUUAUUAGUGCUACCAUUAAGUUGAGCACUCUAAGGAGACUGCCUGGUAACCAGGAGGAAGGUGGGGAUGACGUCAAAUCAUCAUGCCCCUUAUGUCCAGGGCUACACACGUGCUACAAUGGUAGGUACAAUAAGACGCAAGACCGUGAGGUGGAGCAAAACUUAUAAAACCUAUCUCAGUUCGGAUUGUAGGCUGCAACUCGCCUACAUGAAGCUGGAGUUGCUAGUAAUCGCGAAUCAGAAUUCGCGUAAUCAACAGCAAAUAGCGGUGAAAUGCGUAGAGAUUAGGAAGAACACCAGUGGCGAAGGCGGCUUUCUGGACUGUAACUGACGCUGAGGCACGAAAGCGUGGGUAGCAAACAGGAUUAGAUACCCAGGUAGUCCACGCCGUAAACGCUGGAUACUAGGUGUAGGCGGUAUCAACUCCCCCUGUGCCGCGGUUAACACAAUAAGUUUCCCGCCUGGCGAGUACGGUCGCAAGAUUAAAACUCAAAGGAAUUGACGGAGGCCCGCACAAGCAGCGGAGCAUGUGGUUUAAUUCGAAGCAACGCGAAGAACCUUACCUGGACUUGACAUCCCUUGCAUAGCCUAGAGAUAGGUGAAGCCCUUCGGGGCAAGGAGACAGGUGGUGCAUGGUUGUCGUCAGCUCGUGUCGUGAGUUGUUAGGUUAAGUCCUGCAACGAGCGCAACCCUUGUUAUUAGUUGCUACCAUUAAGUUGAGCACUCUAAUGAGACUGCCUGGGUAACCAGGAGGAAGGUGGGGAUUGACGUCAAAUCAUCAUGCCUCUUAUGUCCAGCGCUACACACGUGCUACAAUGGUAGGUACAAUAAGAUGCAAGACCGUGAGGUGGAGCAAAACUUAUAAAACCUAUCUCAGUUCGGAUUGUAGGCUGCAACUCGCCUACAUGAAGCUGGAGUUGCUAGUAAUCGCGAAUCAGAAUGUCGCGGUGAAUACGUUCCCGGGCCUUGUACACACCGCCCGUCACACCAUGAGAGCUGGUAACACCCGAAGUCCGUGAGGUAACCGUAAGGAGCCAGCGG